AUUGAACGCUGGCGGCAGGCCUAACACAUGCAAGUCGAGCGGAUGAAGGGAGCUUGCUCCUGGAUUCAGCGGCGGACGGGUGAGUAAUGCCUAGGAAUCUGCCUGGUAGUGGGGGAUAACGUCCGGAAACGGGCGCUAAUACCGCAUACGUCCUGAGGGAGAAAGUGGGGGAUCUUCGGACCUCACGCUAUCAGAUGAGCCUAGGUCGGAUUAGCUAGUUGGUGGGGUAAAGGCCUACCAAGGCGACGAUCCGUAACUGGUCUGAGAGGAUGAUCAGUCACACUGGAACUGAGACACGGUCCAGACUCCUACGGGAGGCAGCAGUGGGGAAUAUUGGACAAUGGGCGAAAGCCUGAUCCAGCCAUGCCGCGUGUGUGAAGAAGGUCUUCGGAUUGUAAAGCACUUUAAGUUGGGAGGAAGGGCAGUAAGUUAAUACCUUGCUGUUUUGACGUUACCAACAGAAUAAGCACCGGCUAACUUGGUG
rnacentral:rRNA from 1 species